rnacentral:rRNA from 1 species
AGAGUUUGAUUCUGGCUCAGGAUGAACGCUAGCUACAGGCUUAACACAUGCAAGUCGAGGGGCAGCAUUGGAGUAGCAAUACUCAGAUGGCGACCGGCGCACGGGUGAGUAACACGUAUCCAACCUGCCGCUUACUCGGGGAUAGCCUUUCGAAAGAAAGAUUAAUACCCGAUGGUAUAAAGAGUUCGCAUGUUCUCUUUAUUAAAGAAUUUCGGUAAGCGAUGGGGAUGCGUUCCAUUAGAUAGUUGGCGGGGUAACGGCCCACCAAGUCUACGAUGGAUAGGGGUUCUGAGAGGAAGGUCCCCCACAUUGGAACUGAGACACGGUCCAAACUCCUACGGGAGGCAGCAGUGAGGAAUAUUGGUCAAUGGACGAGAGUCUGAACCAGCCAGGUAAGCGUGAAGGAUGACUGCCCUAUGGGUUGUAAACUUCUUUUAUAAGGGAAUAAAGUGAGGGACGUGUCCCUUUUUGUAUGUACCUUAUGAAUAAGGAUCGGCUAACUCCGUGCCAGCAGCGGC